rnacentral:rRNA from 1 species
CUGGCUCAGGAUGAACGCUAGCGACAGGCUUAACACAUGCAAGUCGAGGGGCAGCACGGGAGUAGCAAUACAACUGGUGGCGACCGGCGCGACGGGUGAGUAACGCGUAUGCAACCUACCUAUCAGAGGGGAAUAACCCGGCGAAAGUCGGACUAAUACCGCAUAAAACAGGGGCACCGCAUGGUGAUAUUUGUUAAAGAAAUUCGCUGAUAGAUGGGCAUGCGUUCCAUUAGGUAGUUGGUGAGGUAACGGCUCACCAAGCCGACGAUGGAUAGGGGAACUGAGAGGUUGGUCCCCCACACUGGUACUGAGACACGGACCAGACUCCCACGGGAGGCAGCAGUGAGGAAUAUUGGUCAAUGGGCGGGAGCCUGAACCAGCCAAGUCGCGUGAAGGAAAGAAGGAUCUAUGGUUCGUAAACUUCUUUUGCAGGGGAAUAAAGUGCAGGACGUGUCCUGUUUUGUAUGUACCCUGAGAAUAAGGAUCGGCUAACUCCGUGCCAGCAGCAGC